GAGAGACUGGGAAUCUGGUGGGAGUCUUGGGAAUUAAGCAUCUAACAAGAUUCAAGAUAUUUCUACCCUCUUGCCCAUGUAUCUCAGUGGUAAAGCAUCGUUGGGCUAGACCCCCAGCACAAAAAAAAAAAUAUGAUAGAAUCUCAUUAUCUUUAAUUUUCAUUGCCUUAGUUAUCAACAAGUUAUGCAUCUUUUCUUUUGUUUAUAAAACAUUCUACUCUUGGAAAUAUAGUCCAGAGACUCUCAUAUAUGUAUACCAUGAUUUACUUAUGAGAGUGCUCAGAUGGCAGUGUUUAUAAUAACUGAAAUGGGAAAUGAAAUGUCCAUCUAAAAGACAUUGAACAAACAAUUUGAGGUGUAUGCAUGCCCAGGAAAAGUAUUAAGUAACAAAAAUAAAUAACCUACAGGGACACACAGCAGCAGAAGUGGAUCUCACAAAUUCACUGCUCAGUGGGGAAAAAAAAAAAAAAAACACCACAGUCAAUAUGAUUUUGUUCCUAUAAUCUUUAAAACCAAGAAAACCUAUACCUAUAAUUUUGAGAUCCAUACAUAGGUGGCAAAAUUAUAACAGAAAGACAAAGAGACUAUUACUGCAAAAUUAAGGAUAAUAACUGUCUCUAUGUGUGCAGGGUAGUGAUUAGGAAGGGACACAUGUGCUUGGAGUGCUGGUGGAGGGGCCCAAAGGAACUUCUGCCGAGUGACAAUGUUUUAUAUGUUUGAGUCCUGGUUAUUUGCGUGUUUGUUCAGUAAGUAUUAAUAAUCUAUAAAUUUAUGUUUAUGCAAUGUUCUGUCUCUAUUAAAUUUUCUAUUAAAUAAUUUAGCUUUAAAGCCAUAUUGUGACAUCAUCAUUACCCAUUGUACUGGGAACAAUUACAGAGUCUGACACGACCCAUAUUGGCAAAGAUGUGGAACAUCAGAAGGGUUCUCACUGCCAGUAGGAAUGUAAGCUGCAAUAAGCACCUUGAAAAUCUGCUAAACAUUAUCUUGUAAAGUGAAUGCUAUGAGCAGAGAAAAAUGAGAAUGUGGGUCAGGGAUAAAGGAGGAAAAUAAUAAAAUGAGAAUGAAACAAGAAAAGGGACCUCUUUGGGACUGAUGAGAAAGAGGAACUGAAGACUGCUUCCUUAACUAGCUGAACCUGUAAUAAGAUGAAUAAUAGGUAAACAGAAAGGAGCGUUUCCACGCUGGAGAGCAUGUUCAGGGUGAGAGAGCACCCAUCCUGCUCCCCCAUUAGCAGAACCUCUGUAAGGUGGUGAGACCUUCAUUUACAAGAUGACAAAGCAGAUAAGUAUGUAAAAACGUGGAUGUGUAACAGAUGUGAUUCUGCAAUCUGUAUACGGGGUAAAAAUGGGAGUUCAUAAUCCACUUGAAUCAAAUGUAUGAAAUAUGAUAUGUCAAGAGCUUUGUAAUGUUUUGAAC
rnacentral:lncRNA from 1 species